rnacentral:lncRNA from 1 species
GGAAAUCAAAUAGCUUUUGAUUAAAAAAGGCAGCAAUCUGUCUCAUGUUAGAGCUCACUACCACUCUGGUUAUGCUGUGCAUUGUGUGUAGAGACCAUCUGCAGCAAUGCCUGUCGAGGCAGCAUCAGCUCACCAUCCCCACAGUAUCGUGAGGCACUGAUAAAAGACACAGAACUUGUGUUCACAAGUGUGAUAGAGGAAAAAAAUCCUAACCUGAGGGCUUUUAUGUAGUCAGAGAAGAGAUAGAGCCAAGAGCUACAGGAUGUUCAUGUGCCUGAGAGCUUAGAAGCCAGAACUGGAAUUAACUGAGGAUGGGGGACAACAGUGUUCAAAGGUGCACUGGGGAAAGCAGCCUGGGCUGGCCGCUGCCACUACCAAGCCUCUGGUAGCUGCAGGUGCUGCUGCUGAAAGCCACCUCACUGCCUCCUGGUCUGAGGUCCCCAUCUUCCACUCGAGAGCACAGAGGAGGCCCACAGACGGAGCUCUGUGCGUACGCUGCCCUUGCAGGAGCAGGAUGGCUAAAAGCUGCUCUCGUUCUGCCCCACCCCCAGGCACUUAGAAUUUUAGAGCACUUUUCUGCUGUGUAAAUGAUCCACAUUUCUGGCUGACGCUCUCCUGAGAUGGCCCCGGAGCCACUAAAACACAGAUUCCACAUCACCCAUCUCCACGCAGACAGUCUUCAGCUGCGAGUAGUACUCGAUGGCUGCCCGCCCGUUCUCUCUGCCAAAUCCUGAUGACUUGUAUCCCCCGAAAGGCAGCUCCACGGGGCUGACAUUGUAGUUGUUAAUGAAGCACAUCCCAGCCUUGAGAGCAGCUACUACCCUGUGAGCCUUCUGGAUAUCCCUGGUGAAGA